CUUGGUGGUUCAGAUGGUAAAGAAUCUGUUUGCAGUUCAGGAGACCCAGGUUCAAUUCCUGCACCAAGA
rnacentral:tRNA from 1 species